rnacentral:tRNA from 1 species
UCCCUGGUGGUCCAGUGGUUAGGACACAGCGCUUUCACUGCCAUGGCCCAGGUUUAAUCUCUGGUCAGGGAA